rnacentral:rRNA from 1 species
AUUGAACGCUGGCGGCAGGCCUAACACAUGCAAGUCGAACGCGUGGCGGACGGGCGAGUAAUGUCUGGGAAACUGCCUGAUGGAGGGGGAUAACUACUGGAAACGGUAGCUAAUACCGCAUACCAUCCGAUGGGCCCAGAUGGGAUUAGCUAGUAGGUGGGGUAAAGGCUCACCUAGGCGACAAUCCCUAGCUGGCCUGCGAGGGUGACCAGCCACACUGUGACUGAGACACGGUCCAGACUCCUACGGGAGGAAGCAGUGGGAAAUAUUGCACAAUGGGCGAAAGCCUGAUGCAGCAAUGCCGCGUGUAUGAAGAAGGCCUUCGGGUUGUAAAGUACUUUCAGCAGGGAAGCGGUACCCACAGAAGAAGCACCGGCUAACUACGUGCCAGCAGCCGCGGUAAUUC